rnacentral:lncRNA from 1 species
AUAAGUGUAUUUUACUCUUGUUGCUAACACUUAAUUUAACUCUUAACUGUUGGCACAGCUAGGUGCUAAAUACAUACAAUAGCACCCCAUUUGGUGUGCAUUUAUGUGUGUAGACUGCUUUCAUAGGAUGUGGGGAGCCUGAAGAUUGGGGUGAGGGAAGUACAGUUACUGGGUGUGGAAUCUGAUUUUAAAAGUGAUUGACUUCUUUUGGUUUUGUUCCUGGAGCAUGCACUAUAAUUUAUUUGCCAGGAUCAAUUUCUUUCGUUUUAAUGAUUUCUUCUUGUGGGUGGUGAGCUGCUAUGCUAAUCUAUUAGUUAGUGAGGACUGAAGGAAAGAGAGGGAGAGACCCACACAAUGCCUAGGGUGGGAUCUUAUUGUUCACUUUCUCUCAUAGUUAGAGCCAUGCUUGCCUACAGAUAAAUAAAGCAUUUCCCCCUCCUCUUCUCUCUCUCCCCCUUGCUUUUUAAGCUGGGAAGCAUUACUCCAUUACUUCUGCCUUUACAAUGUAAGAGAGAGGCCAUCCAAGGUGAAUGGAAGAGAAGCCAACAUCCACCUAAAGCUCCUUCUUUCCUCUUCCCUUUUCUUAGACUUAGCUUCUCCUGCUGUUCCUGUGUGUGAGUGAAUUUCAAAGGUGAUAACAGUAAACUCUAGAGGUUGUAGCCAGUGUUAAGUCAGCUGAAGAGUAGAAGCAUUGAAAUUGAUGGGCAUGACUGUCUUAGGACCAUACAUUUCAGUGAGUCUACUUUGAGUAGAACUCAGUUGGAUACAAUCCUAGGCUUCCAGUUUGCAUAGAGUGGUCUCCCUUUCUUCCUCCAAAGAAAAUUGCCAGAGUUUUCUGAGUAACAAUGUAUUAUUCAUUCCUCCUUAUUCCUGAAUGUAGCGCCUUAUGUCCACAAGGUGCAUGCAGAAAUUAGCACGUUCAGUUCCUGGCUCUUUCCAGUUGAGAGACUCAGGUAGGAGGUGUCAGGAAAGCCUUUUCUUUGCCUCAGAUCCUGGAGAGCUGCUGCCAGCCAGAGCAGGCAGUACUGAUUUUGAUAAAGAGAGUCUGACAGCUUCUCAUGUUUCAGACAGUGUCAGAAACUAGUCAGGUGCCAGGCACGUUUUGUGACUGGUGUGGGUCCAAUUACCACCUGGGGAGAUCUCUAGAUGCCAGGUCGGUGACUGGGGAAAGCAAAAUGUCACUUAGAGAAGGAUCUGAAAUAUUUUCCUUGAAGAUCAAAUUUGUUUUAUUCUGGAGUGUUUUAUUUGAUGUUUUGAUGUGUUGUAAACUGCUUUGAGAUUUGUUUCAAAAAAUAUAAAGUGGUAUAAAGAUGAUGAAAAUAAUAAUCCCCCUGCAACCCCCCCCAAAAAAACCCUGCACUUAGAAAUUCCAUUGUGGCAAAUGCAACCCAGAUUUAAGGUGCCAUUUGGCAAUUAGAUUAUAUAUCUGAGUUUCUAACACUGGCAAGAGUAACCAAUAACCCUACAAGGUAUGUUUGUAUAUGGAUCGCUCUGUGGCAGAGGUGGGCUGACCCGAGUCUUGUGUGGUAUUCCAGUACACCAAUCUAAUUUUUUAUGAGUGUAUUUUAAAUUUACUGUACAAAACAAGAGUGCUUAGGAUCCCUUCUCAAUUAAGGCAUCACUAGUCUGUGGGACGCGGGUGGCACUGUGGGUUAAACCACAGAGCCUAGGACUUGCCGAUCAGAAGGUCGGCGGUUUGAAUCCCCGCAACGGGGUGAGCUCCUGUUGCUCAGUCCCUGCUCCUACCAACCUAGCAGUUCAAAAGUACAUCAAAGUGCAAGUAGAUAAAUAGGUACUGCUCCGGCGGGAAGGUAAACAGCAUUUCCGUGUGCUGCUCUGGUUCGCCAGAAGCGCCUUAGUCAUUCUGGCCACAUGACCUGGAAGCUGUACGCUGGCUCCCUCGACCAAUAAAACGAGAUGAGUGCCGCAACCCCAGAGUCGGUCAUGACUGGACCUAAUGGUCAGGGGUACCUUUACCUUUACCUAGUCUGUGUUAAAUUAUCUGCGAGCACACUCUUGCUUGAGAAAAAUGUAGGCGAUCCCUUGCUGGAUCAGACCAGGGAUUCCAGCAGGCCAUGGUAGUCUACCAGAAGUUGUCUGGGGAUCAAACUGUGAGCUUUCUUCUUUCUGCCAUCCCCUUGUGUAUACCCCCCCCCAAUCCCUCAACGAUGAAGAGGGUGGUUGUCUGCUUAAGGUAGCUUUUUGUGUCCUGCUUCACUUCUUAACCUCCAAGCGUUCCUGGCAUCCUUGCAAAUGUAAGUUGUUCCUUCUAAAGCCCUUGGCAAUGGAUAACAAAUAUUAACUAAUCUCCUUGUAAUGAAAUUCCAUCUAUGCUUCUCUAGUAACCAGAUUCCUUUGGCUUCAGGUUCAUAACCCUCCUUGUUUUCUGUUGUAUAUCUUUCUCUUUUCCAUGCCUUGCUUUUAGGCCCGCAGUUAUUUCAUAGGGAUGCCAUUAUAAGACAUAGUCUGGCCAAGAAAUAGGUCAGUGGUUGAACAUAAGAGUUUUCACUGGGACUUGACUUGUGGUGGGAGGUAUUUGUAAUAAUGAGCUCCGACAAGACCCUGCUCUGAAUUAUUAAUUUAACUCUCCAUGUCUGCUAGCUUUUCCAGCUAAUUGCAGAGCCUGGACUCCUAAGUUGUAUCUUCUGACUGUGUUAGCCCCCAAGGGCAGAAGAACUGCCUUGCUGGAUUGGACAAAAGGACCAUUUAUUCUAGGAGUGGGCAACAUGUGGCUCUCCAGAUGUUAUUGAACUCAAGCUCCCAUUAGUCCCAUUCAGCAUGGCCAGUGGUCAGGGAUGAAGAGAGUUGUAGUCCUGCCAGAUGUUUCCCAGAAAAGGGCAUGGAAGGAAUGGCUUUUCUUUGUUGGUUUCCAGCAUCUGGAUUUCUGGUUGUAUAUUACAUGCUAACAUGGACACAUUUAGCUAUUGUGGUUAAUAGCCCUUGAGGGACAGAAAUGUGUAUAAAAUGUAACAGACUGUCCUCUGCAUCAAAAAAAUCAAAACUCUAUACCCACAGGGGAUGUGAUGGAGGACAGGUUCAUCCCAUACAUUUAAAGCACAUCCAAUGUACAUUUAAAGUAUAUGACUUACUCCCAAAGAAUACUGGAAACUGUAGUUUCCCCCUCAUAGAGCAACAAUUCCAGCAACCUUAACAAACUACAGUUCCCAGAAUUCCUUGUGGGAAGCCAUUUGCUUUAAAUAUUCAACAUAUAUUUAAAUGUAUGGUGUUUUAAAUGUAUGGUGUGGGUUUGCUCCAGGUAGGUGGCACUGCUAGAAUAACAAUCCUCUCCUCCAUGAAAUACCACCCUUCAUGCAUCUUCCUUAGGAGGCAAAGCUCCUAUUCAAGCUUGCAUAGUGACCCCUCUGUUCACAAAAUGAGAACUGAUGGAAGAUGCCAGAGCAGGCACAAAUCUUGGGCGCUGUUCUGAAAUCACUGAGUUUGUUCUAUUAUUAAGGAUGCUGACAUUCUUAUUAUUGAUUGACCAUACUCAGAACAAUCUAAAGCCAUAUUGUCAUUUUACAGACCUGAUGGAGAUUAAGCCACUUGCCUCAGUGUAAGGUUUCGUCAAGUACAAUAGGCAGGGAAAAAGGAGAUUAUGUCUGCCACCCCAAGUGCCGUGGAGGAAAAGCAGUAUGCAUGUGUAAUAAAGCCUGUAUGUAAUACAGACAGCAUACAUACGUAAUAAACGACACAGAUAAAUUCAAUCGUCUUGGAACGUGGGUUGGCCUCCCUAAUUUCUCUUGACUCGCUCCAGUUUCUCUGUGUGCCUCAGUCACUAAUACUGCUGGUUUUGUUUUCAAAGGAGGCUGUAGCCCUUUCCUCCCUUUUUUGUAUAAAGACUUGUUUUCCCCUAUGGGGUUGAUGUCUCUGGGGUUUCAAAACAUACUAUGGGCUUCAUUUGGUCUGUUCCAUCAUAUAAAUGGAUGAGGAGGCAUGCAUUGAAAUGCUUUGUGAAUCCCCUGCUAUAAUAAAAAAUAUUGGGCAUGGGUAUCAGACUAAUUGCCAUGGCAAGCUGCUUGUGCUGUGUGCCACCUCUAGUAAAUUGGAAAGAAUCACUAGAUGUUCAGAGGUGAUAAAGUGAAAUUAAAACAAAUCUGAGUUAAAAAUGAGUUCGAAUGAAAACGAGCCAGGAAAGGAGGUGUAUUCACUAAUGCAACCUAAAUUGACCUGGAUUCUGUUUAUCUUUAAUUCACCUCACCCACAGAAUACAAAUUAGUCUAUUCUCAUUAUGUAUGCAUACAUCCAUUUACACUAAUGGGAGUUUAUUUUUGAGGUAGGGUGCAGUGGCAGAACUGCGGCUUGGCAUUCUCAUUUGUGGCUUUAAAUCAAUGAACACAAUAUUUGCCUGUAAUAUUAUUUUGCCCAAAGAAAGUGUCUGGAAUUACUCUUAUUGUUUGCAAGAAAAAGACUUAACAUUUUCUGGACCGAUAGUCAGAAUGGAUAGUGAAGAUGCUCAAAUGGAACUGGAAGUCAAUUCUAGAGGCUCCUCCCUGGUCAGUGAUGUUUUCACAAGAGGGUUAUUCUAUAUCAAGUGAUCAAACUUUUUUACCUCAUGUCAAUCCAAUUUUCUUAAUAUUUUGUACACUUGUUGAAUGAUCAAAACUAAGUUUAAAUCUAAAAUUUUAAUUAUUUCUCUCACCCCUUUGUGAAUUAUGAGGGUUUGAAAAAUUUUUGGCCUUGCUGGACUACACAAAAACCUUAAAAGCUCAGCCCAGAAUUGAGAAACUAAAAACACCACUCUAAAACAUCAAUCCCUUCAGAACUUUAUGAGCUUUAAUAUGAUAUGUCACAUGAUGGACUUACUUUAAAAUUUAAAUUUAAGUUACAAAAUUUAAAUUUUAAAAAGUGAUUAAAAAUUAACAUGAUUUAAAAUUUCCAAAAAAAUUUAUUGAUUAUUUAAUAUUUUUAAGAGCUACCUGCAAAUUUUCAUCUUUGGCUCUCAAUGAGAUCAUAUUUAGAAUAAAUAUUUUGUUAAUACCUGUCUGCCUUAUUGGGUUCUGUUUCAUGAAUUGUUGUAAUGUUCAUGAAAUGAAAUACUAACAAGAAUUCUUUCAAAGCGUUAAUUCUGUCACACAGUUGCAAGCUAUCACUCGGCUUUGGAACACAUUUUUAAAAGAAAAGCCUAACUAGCUUUUCAGAUACCUUUUAAUUGAGUAACUUUCUAAAGAAAUGUCUGAAGUAACUGAUAUUAUAGUUUGGUCUUAUUUUGUUAUAUUUUACUACAAGAAGACCCAUUUAUCCAAAAUAGAACCCAGUAAGGCAGACCUGUAUUAGGCAGACCUUAGAAAUAUUAAAUAAUCAAUAAUUUUGGGGGGGAAUUUUUUAAUCACAUUUAUUUUUGUAAUCACUUUUUAAAAUUUUCAGUUUUGAAACUUAAAUUUAGAAUUUAAAGUAAUAAUAAGUAAGUAACACUGGCUGUGCUUUUAGGGCCCAACAGAGGAAGCUG